rnacentral:rRNA from 1 species
UACAGAGACUGCAAGCGUUAUUCGGAUUCACUGGGCGUAAAGGGUGCGCAGGUGGGUUUGCAAGUUUGAUGUGAAAGCCCCGGGCUUAACCCGGGAAUGGCAUUGAAUACUGCAGAUCUGGAGGAUUGGAGGGGGGACUGGAAUUCUUGGUGUAGCAGUGAAAUGCGUAGAUAUCAAGAGGAACACCAGUGGCGAAGGCGAGUCCCUGGACAAUACCUGACACUGAGGCACGAAAGCC